rnacentral:misc_RNA from 1 species
GAUGAAGAACGCAGCGAAAUGCGAUAAGUAAUGUGAAUUGCAGAAUUCAGUGAAUCAUCGAAUCUUUGAACGCACCUUGCGCCCUUUGGCUAUUCCGAAGGGCAUGCCUGUUUGAGUAUCAUGAACACCUCAACUCUCAUGGUUUGCCAUGAUGAGCUUGGACUCUGGGGGUCUUGCUGGCCUAUGGUCAGCUCCUCUCAAAUAAAUCAGCUUGCCAGUGUUUGGUGGCAUCACAGGUGUGAUAACUAUCUACGCUUGUGGUUUUCCAUCAGGUAACCUUCAGUGAUGGAGGUUCGCUGGAGCUCAUAAAUGUCCCUCCUCAGCGAGGACAGCUUUUUGAACGUUUGAUCUCAAAUCAGGUAGGACUACCCGCUGAACUUAAGCAUAUAAUAAGCGGAGGA